rnacentral:rRNA from 1 species
UUAACUGAAUCCAUAGGUUAAUGAGGCGAACCGGGGGAACUGAAACAUCUAAGUACCCCGAGGAAAAGAAAUCAACCGAGAUUCCCCCAGUAGCGGCGAGCGAACGGGGAGGAGCCCAGAGCCUGAAUCAGCAUGUGUGUUAGUGGAAGCGUCUGGAAAGGCGCGCGAUACAGGGUGACAGCCCCGUACACAAAAGCGCAUGUGCUGUGAGCUCGAUGAGUAGGGCGGGACACGUGGUAUCCUGUCUGAAUAUGGGGGGACCAUCCUCCAAGGCUAAAUACUCCUGACUGACCGAUAGUGAACCAGUACCGUGAGGGAAAGGCGAAAAGAACCCCGGCGAGGGGAGUGAAAAAGAACCUGAAACCGUGU